AGCUUAUCCAUGAUGUCUUUAUUACAAAAAAUGUCUGAACAUAUGAGUUCUAGUGAUUUUACAUUGUAACUGAGAUAAGCU
ensembl:snoRNA